UACGUAGGGUGCAAGCGUUGUCCGGAAUUAUUGGGCGUAAAGAGCUCGUAGGCGGUUUGUUGCGUCGGCUGUGAAAUCCCGAGGCUCAACCUCGGGUCUGCAGUCGAUACGAGCAAAACUAGAGUGUUGCAGGGGGGGACUGGAAUUCCUGGUGUAGCAGUGAAAAUGCGUAGAGAUCAGGAGGAAUACCGAUGGCGAAGGCAGGUCUCUGGGCUGAUACUGACGCUCAUGCACGAAAAGCGUGGGGGAGCAAAACAGG
rnacentral:rRNA from 1 species